rnacentral:rRNA from 1 species
UACGAAGGGGGCUAGCGUUGCUCGGAAUACUGGGCGUAAAGCGUGCGCAGGCGGUUAUAUAAGACAGUUGUGAAAUCCCCGGGCUCAACCUGGGAACUGCAUCUGUGACUGUAUAGCUAGAGUACGGUAGAGGGGGAUGGAAUUCCGCGUGUAGCAGUGAAAUGCGUAGAUAUGCGGAGGAACACCGAUGGCGAAGGCAACUCCCUGACCUGUACUGACGCUCAUGCACGAAAGCGUGGGGAGCAAACGAGGAUACGAAA